rnacentral:tRNA from 1 species
AAAAAUCGCAAAAAUGUGCAUUUUUUUGCAAAAAAAAUCGCAAAAAUGCCAAUUUUUUGACAUUUU